rnacentral:rRNA from 1 species
UACGGAGGGCCCAAGCGUUAUCCGGAAUCAUUGGGUUUAAAGGGUCCGUAGGCGGUUUUGUAAGUCAGUGGUGAAAGCCCAUCGCUCAACGGUGGAACGGCCAUUGAUACUGCAAAACUUGAAUUAUUGGGAAGUAACUAGAAUAUGUAGUGUAGCGGUGAAAUGCUUAGAUAUUACAUGGAAUACCAAUUGCGAAGGCAGGUUACUAAAGUAUGAUUGACGCUGAGGCACGAAAGCGUGGGGAUCAAACAGG